UGGCGACGGGCCUGGGAUUGCUUGCUUUUUGUGAAAGGUGCUGCAUCAAGCUGAUGUUGCCUGCUUGCCAGAGGGCAUGCAGAUUCGAGCCUGAAUCAGGAUUCUGACCUUCCCCCGCACCUCUUUUCGCCCAUCCUUGUGGUCUGUAGGGUGGGUGAGGAGGAGGGCAGGGACUGUUUAUUUAAUUAACACUUUCAAAUUCUAUUUAAUCAUUAUUUUAACCUUGGAUUUUUGCUGCUAAUCGUAUUUGGGCUGGAUUGGGGGAGACAGGGUUUCAUUAUGCCUGGGAGAUGAGAAACCUUUGGAAGGGUGUCUUUUGAAAACUUGGGUCGUGAACUACAAUUUAGAUUGCUAACUUCUUUGCCCCGAUACCUUGUUUAGCACUGAAUGGGGCUGGCCCUGAAUUUCAUUUUAUCCCAGCCUCAUUUUUCUUUUAAUCAGUGAGAUUAGGAAUAUGUAUUGUGGUUUUUAUAGAAGACAAGAGUGGCUGAGAAACAUCCUCUAGAUUCUUAAUAAAUGACUCUUCCUCUGAUGUGAAAUAUCAGAAGUGUGAUGGUUUGUGGGGUUCCUCUUAGGGUUUUCUGGCCUGGACAUGACUUUGUUUGGGUGUGUUAGCUUUUUCCUUAAAACGAAAUUGCUGGUGGUUAUUUUUCAUUGCAGUUUUUGCCGUGAAAAGUGUAGAUUUUGCGGGGGGACUGGAGGCUGCAUCCUGUGCCGACAGAAAAUUAACUGACAUCUUUAAAAUAUCCUGGACUACAUAAUGGUUUUUCUACCAGAGUCAGACUGUACUGACAACCCUUAAUGCAGAUCUGCUUGCCAGCAGCUACUCUCUUUUAAAUAUGGGUUAGUUUAUCUUGCGGUUAGUGCUUCCGAUGAGGGUAAGGGAGGAAUGGGAAUACUGGGCUUUGUGCCUUUAAGAAGAAACCACGUGGCCUCUGAAUUCUCAGGCAGGUCUGGAGGCCGUAGUGCUAGUGCCGCCUCCCGAGAUCUUUAUUUAAAAAUCAUGGUAUUGGGUUGAAGAUGGAUUUGGCUUUUGGUGGAAAGGGGACUAGAUUCUUGGCAGAGGAGACGUGGCUCUGUGGGCAAAGCUGGGAGGCAGAAGUCCAGCACCAGAAAAUAAAAACAUCUUUGCCUCAGGCCCACCAUGGACCAAGUUAACCAGAAUUGAGCAUUUCAGCCUGGGAAGGGCUGAAGGUAGCAUGGCUGCGAGUCUGAUUUAGGGAGCUGUCCACAGUUUUAAUGUGCAUGACUACGAGGCAGAAGCUGCGCUUAGUAUCCAGAGAAGAGACUGAAGCUGUAGCCAAAUUCACUUUGUCCAACUGGAGUGGUUAGUGGUAGAAGCUAUGAUUGAAAGGCCUACUGACAGCAACUUAGUUUCUCUUUAUGAAUGAAGAUUUUCACCUACAGCUCUAAAAGUGUAGAGACUGACCUUCUCCCAAGAACCAAUAAGUACCAAAAAUGGAUGAAUCAUCUUGCAUAGAAACCUGAUAAAAUUCUUUUAAUAUUUGCCUUUGACAAUUGCCCUGUAAAUUAACAACCAGUUUUAAAAUAAAUAGUAUUUGAAUAA